AUGAACGCUGGCGGCGUGCCUAAUACAUGCAAGUCGAGCGAACAGACGAGGAGCUUGCUCCUCUGACGUUAGCGGCGGACGGGUGAGUAACACGUGGAUAACCUACCUAUAAGACUGGGAUAACUUCGGGAAACCGGAGCUAAUACCGGAUAAUAUAUUGAACCGCAUGGUUCAAUAGUGAAAGACGGUUUUGCUGUCACUUAUAGAUGGAUCCGCGCCGCAUUAGCUAGUUGGUAAGGUAACGGCUUACCAAGGCAACGAUGCGUAGCCGACCUGAGAGGGUGAUCGGCCACACUGGAACUGAGACACGGUCCAGACUCCUACGGGAGGCAGCAGUAGGGAAUCUUCCGCAAUGGGCGGAAGCCUGACGGAGCAACGCCGCGUGAGUGAUGAAGGUCUUCGGAUCGUAAAACUCUGUUAUUAGGGAAGAACAAAUGUGUAAGUAACUAUGCACGUCUUGACGGUAACUAAUCAGAAAGCCACGGCUAACUACGUG
rnacentral:rRNA from 1 species